UACGUAGGGUGCAGGCGUUAAUCGGAAUUACUGGGCGUAAAGCGUGCGCAGGCGGUUUGCUAAGACAGAUGUGAAAUCCCCGGGCUUAACCUGGGAACUGCGUUUGUAACUGGCAAGCUAGAGUGUGGCAGAGGGGGGUGGAAUUCCAAGUGUAGCAGUGAAAUGCGUAGAUAUUUGGAGGAACACCGAUGGCGAAGGCAGCCCCCUGGGCUAACACUGACGCUCAUGCACGAAAGCGUGGGGAGCAAACGGG
rnacentral:rRNA from 1 species